CGAUUCAGCGGGUUACGAUUGACGGAGCGAAGCGACGUCAAAGCGUAUACAAAGUCGAGUCGGUUUAAGGAUACGUUCGUUGGGUAGGGGAGCGUUCUGUAAGCCCGUGAAGGUGGCCUGUGAGGGUUGCUGGAGGUAUCAGAAGUGCGAAUGCUGACAUAAGUAACGAUAAAGCGGGUGAAAAGCCCGCUCGCCGGAAGACCAAGGGUUCCUGUCCAACGUUAAUCGGGGCAGGGUGAGUCGACCCCUAAGGCGAGGCCGAAAGGCGUAGUCGAUGGGAAACGGGUUAAUAUUCCCGUACUUGGUGUUACUGCGAAGGGGGGACGGAGAAGGCUAUGUUGGCCGGGCGACGGUUGUCCCGGUUUAAGCGUGUAGGUGUGUGUUCCAGGUAAAUCCGGUUCACUUUAACACUGAGGCGUGAUGACGAGGCACUACGGUGCUGAAGCAACAAAUGCCCUGCUUCCAGGAAAAGCCUCUAAGCAUCAGGUAACAUCAAAUCGUACCCCAAACCGACACAGGUGGUCA
rnacentral:rRNA from 1 species